rnacentral:rRNA from 1 species
CCCGCUCAGAACUCAAGGAAUUGACGGGGCCCGCACAAGCGGAGGAACAUGUGGUUUAAUUCGAUGAUACGCGAGGAACCUUACCCGGGCUUGAAAUGCAUCUGACCGGCCUUGAAAGAGGUUUUUCCCCUUCGGGGCAGAUGUGUAGGUGCUGCAUGGUUGUCGUCAGCUCGUGCCGUGAGGUGUCGGCUUAAGUGCCAUAACGAGCGCAACCCUCAUCAUUAGUUACCAUCAGGUAAGGCUGGGGACUCUAAUGAGACUGCCAUCGUAAGAUGUGAGGAAGGUGGGGAUGACGUCAAAUCAGCACGGCCCUUACGUCCGGGGCGACACACGUGUUACAAUGGGUGGUACAAAGGGCAGCUACCUGGCGACAGGAUGCUAAUCUCCAAAACCACUCUCAGUUCGGAUCGGAGUCUGCAACUCGACUCCGUGAAGCUGGAUUCGCUAGUAAUCGCGCAUCAGCCACGGCGCGGUGAAUACGUUCCCGGGCCUU